rnacentral:lncRNA from 1 species
AUCGAGUGUUUGCCCCAGUGUGCCUUGAGGGUGCCUGCCGAGAGGCCCUGCUGUGGCUGAUCCCCUCUUGCCUCUCAGCUGCACACUCUGUCCUGGGAACACACCCUUUCUCCAGGCUGGACAUACUUAUUGUCCCCACCAACUUCCCAAGUCUGGGAAUGGCCAGCCCACACAUCAUCUUCCUCUCUCAGAGCACCUUGACAGGCACAAGCCAUCUCUGCGGGACCCGUCUUUGCCAUGAAAUUGCUCAUGCCUGGUUUGGCCUAGCCAUAGGGGCCCGAGACUGGACAGAGGAGUGGCUCAGCGAAGGAUUUGCCACUCACUUGGAAGAUAUAUUUUGGGCUGAAGCACAGCAGCUGCCCCCACAUGAGGCCCUGGAGCAGCAAGAGCUGAGGGCUUGCCUGCGCUGGCACCGCCUGCA